CACUUGGCUGCUUGGCUGCUAACCGAAAGGUUAGUGGUUCAAACCUACCACCUGCUCUAUGGGAUGAAGAGGUGGCAGUCUGCUUCCACAAAGCUUGCAGCCUUGGGAACCCUGUGGGGCGUUCUACUCUGUCCUAUAGGGUCACUGUUUGUUUGAAUCAACUUGAAAGCAAUGGGUUUGGGUUUUUGUUUUUUUAAAGGACCAUUCAGCUGCUAACCACAAGUUGGCGAUUCGAAUACAUCCAGUGGAGAAAAGACCUGGUAAUCUGCUCCUGUAAAGAUUACAGCCUAGGAAACAAUACGGUGCAGUUCUACUCUGUCACAUGGGGUCACUGGGAGUUGAAAUCAGUUUAAUGACACCCAACGACAACUACAAUUAGAGGACUAUUAUGAUAAGGGUUGAAAAAUAUUCCUUGGGUUUGAUAAUAAUGCAGUUAUGAGUGACCUUUGACAGGACAGCCUCAGGAAGUGGCAGGGGCAGACACUGGAUUGCAGUGGGUUGAGGAGUAAAUGGGGAGUGAGGAAGCACAGACAAUCUGGGCUGACAUUCAAGACAGUUGGGCAAUUCAGAAAAAACAAAAGGGGUGGUAGCUAGAGGGAGUCACAAAGAAUCAAGUUUUUUUUUUUUUUUUUUAAAGAGUACUAGAAGAGACUUGAGCAUGUUUAUGGGCUGAGAGGGGAAAUCCAGGGGAGAGGCUGAAGACAGAGGGAGAUGAUUUAUGAAGCAGGAUCCUGGAGCAGGUGGGAUGGAAUCUGAGCAGAAGCACAAGCGGGGAGGGGUAACGGAGUCGUUGAGGAGCUGGGACGUUCAUAUCUAAACAGGAAGAGGAGGUGAGGAUGAAUGUGGAUAAAGAUGCCUUUCCAGAUGACAUAUAUGAAGUCCAUGUUUCCAAGAAAAUGCCUUUGGAAAGUUAUGGGGAUGCAAUUUGAACCCAGGCCCCUGAGUGAGGCUCAUUCUCUCCGUCCGCAUUUUGGACAGAUGGGUUGCGGCUCUUCAACUCCAUCAACAUCAAUGUUCUGGCAUUGGCGAAAAACAAGGCUCCAGGAAUUGAUGCAAUAUCAGUUGAGAUGUUUCAACAAACAGAUGCGGCAGGCACUGGAGGUGCUCACUCGUCUAUGCCAAGAAAUAUGGAAGACAGCUUCCUGGCCAACUGACUGGAAGAGAUCCGUAUUUACGCCUUUUCCCAAGAAAGGUGAUCCAACCGAAUGUGGAAAUUAUAGAACAAUAUCAGUAAUAUCACAUGGAAGCAAAAUUUUGCUGAAGAUCAUUCAAAAACAGCUGCAGCAGUAUAUCAACAGGGAACUUCCAGAAAUUCAGGCCGGUUUCAGAAGAGGAUGUGGAACUAGGGAUAUUGUUGCUGAUGUCAGAUGGAUCCUGGCUGAAAGCAGAGAAUACCAGAAGGAUGUUUACCUGUGUUUUAUCGACUAUGCAAAGGCAUUCGACUGUGUGGAUCAUAACAAACUAUGGAUAACGCUGCGAAGAAUGGGAAUUCCAGAACACUUAAUUGUGCUCGUGAGGAACCUUUACAUAGAUCAAGAGGCAGUUGUUCGGAAAGAACAAGGGGAUACUGAUUGGUUUAAAGUCAGGAAAGGUGUGCUUCAGGGUUGUAUUCUUUCACCAUACCUAUUUAAUCUGUAUGCUGAACAAAUAAUACGAGAAGCUGGACUAUAUGAAGAACAGGGCAUCAGGAUUGGAGGAAGAUUCAUUAAAAACCUGCGUUAUGCAGAUGACACAACCUUGCUUGCUGAAGAGGACUUGAAGCACUUGCUAAUGAAGAUCAAAGACCACAGCCUUCAGUAUGGAUUACACCUCAACAUAAAGAAAACAAAAAUCCUCACACCUGGACCAAUGAGCAACAUCAUGAUAAAUGGAGAAAAGAUGGAAGUUGUCAAGGAUUUCAUUUUACUUGGAUCCACAAUCAACAGCCAUGGAAACAGCAGUCAAGAAAUUGAAAGAUGCAUUGCCUUGGGUAAAUCUGCUACAAAGGACCUCUUCAAAGUGUUGAAGAGCAAAGAUGUCACCCUGAAGACUAAGGUGCGCCUGACCCAAGCCAUGGUAUUUUCAAUCACAUCAUAUGCACGUGAAAGCUGGAGAAUGAAUAAGGAAGACCGAAGAAGAGUUGACGCCUUUGAACUGUGGUGUUGGCGAAGAAUAUCAAAUAUACCGUGGACUGCCAAAAGAACGAACAAGUCUGUCUUGGAAGAAGUGCGGCCAGAAUGCUCCUUAGAGGCAAGGAUGGCGAGACUGUGGUUUACAUACCUUGGACAUGUUGUCAGGAGCAAUCAGUCCUUGGAGAAGGACAUCAUGCUUGGCAGAGUACAGGGCCAGUGGGAAAGAGGAAGACUCUCAAUGAGAUGGAUUGACACAGUGGCUGCAACAAUGGGCUCAAGCAUAAGAACGAUUGUAAGGAUGGCGCAGGACCGGGCAGUGUUUCGUUCUGUUGUGUAUGGGGUCGCUAUGAGUCGGAACCGACUGGACGGCACCUAACAACAACAACAACAUACCUAAAUAAGAGUAUAAGUAGUGUGAAAAAAAUAAGUAAAAAUUCCUAAUGAUGCAAUUUCAGGCACUAGUACUCACAGGUUUUGGCAGUCAAUUUUUAUGGGGAUCCAGGAUCCCUAGGUUCUGUAACUGGCUCCGACACCACCUGUGUGGUUUUGCACAAGUCUGUUUUUCUCUGAGUCUCAUUUUCUCUUAAAUGAGGAGGCUUAACUACAGUACUGAUCGUUAAGCAUUUUUAUUAACUUUCAAGAAGCUGACUACUCUUUCCAAAUGCAUUUUUUGUGUGUGGAAGACCAAUACACUAAGUGAAUCAAAGUGUGUCAACAGCCCAACCGGUUGUGCCCCAUAUCCAUUUGAGCACUAAUGUUUUCUGACUCAAGUUGCAGGCGGUGAAUCCAAAUUCACCAGUCAGAGCUGACCUGCCUCUCAGCUGAGUGGAAAAUAACUAGGUGAUUUUAAGUGACCCACAAAGGCUUACGUGUGACAGUUGCUCUUGCGAAGCAUUUCCCUGAGCAUUAAGCCCGGAUGCUGGCAGCUAUCUCAUGGCUCAGGGACUGUUUGGGAUCCAAGGAGACCAUGGCUGUCUCUAGAAAGUUCUGUGAGGACCCUGGCUCUUUAGAAGAACCAUCCAUGGGUGGUUUUCAGGGGAGUCAGGUCUGGUUUGGUGGUCUACUGUGCCCAGGCCUCCCAGGCCCAGCCCGAGAACUAAAGCUUUCCAGCCUUGGGGCUGCAGCAGGAAGGCAAGGUCACGUGGAGAAGGAAUGAGGGCAAGAGAAGAGGUCAGGCCAACAAACACCAUGUAGUGAAAUAUGAGUAAGACUCCUCAGUGUCCUCCCCUGCUCUGAAAAGUGCCAUGUGAAUUUCCGUGGAGUUUUCUCCAGCCUCCUUUUCUAUAGCUGGUGUGAUAAGGAUUAUUUUGCCCCUUUUAAGAGGAAAGAUAGAUGCCCCACAAUUCUAUGCUUCAGGAGAUUCCAUGGACAGUAAUGUCCACAUCCUAAGUUAUAAUAAGCAGCACAAGAAUAAAGCGUGGAUCCUGUGCCCACAGGAUUCCAUUUGUAUCUGGCCCAGAUUGGCCAGACUUGAACUCAAAGGAGGUGGGAGUCCCUAAGGAGGGGAAAAUGGAUGUGCAGGGACAUUUGAGUAGAUUCUUUCCUGCCCCAAGUCUUCUCCAGGGACAGAAGCAAAAGGUUGACAGCCAGCAUUUCUCACUUGCUGGUCUUACCCUACCCAUGUGUGGGAUGGAGAUCUGGGGCCUGGGUGAAUGACCUCUUACAGCCCGACCCCACUCCUACUAAGGCACACCAGCCUCAGCACCAGGAGACCUGGGCUGAAGUUCCAGUUGGGGUACUUGCUCACUGUGAGGCUAGUCACAUGCUGUUAUGGGUUGAAUUGUGUCCACCAAAAAGAAAUGUGGAAGUCCCAGCCCCAUACCUCUAAAUAUGACCCUGUUUGGGAACAGGGGUGUUCUUUUUUUAUGUUAAUGAGGUUAUACCACAUUAGUGUAGGUCAUACCACUUUAGGGUGGGCCAUAAACCUUAUCACUUCUGAGUGGUGUCUUAUAAAAAGGCAGAAUAGACGCAGAGACACACACAGGUGGAAUACAGAUGCCAUAUAAGGACCCAUCUACAAGCAAAGGAAUGCCAAGAAUUGCCAGCAGACCAGAUUCCGCAGAAGGAAUCAACACAGUCAAUACCCAGAUUUGGACUUUUAGCCUCCAGAAAUGUCAGCAAAUAAAUUUCUGAUCUUUAAAGCCACCCACUUGCAGUAUUUUUUAUUACAGUAGCACUAGGUAACUAAUACUCAUACUGACUCUGGUCCUCAGUUUCAUUUUUCAAAAAGGCAUCAGACUAGAUGCUUUUCAAGGUCACUGCCGGGGCUAACUCUCAGUGAUUCUAGACAAGAUUGUAAGGGCCUUGACACCAGUAGGUCCCUGGGUAGUUCAAAUGGUUUGAACUCAGCUACUAACCGAACUAACCGAAAUGUUGGUGGUUCAAACCCACCCAGCAGCACCAUGUAAUAAAGGCCUUGCAAUCUACUUCCAUAAAGAUUAUAGCCAAGAAAACCCUAUGGAGCUCAAUUAUGCUCUGACACAAAAGGAGUCACUGUUAUGGAUUGAAUUGUGUCCCCCCAAAAUGUGUGCAAACUUGGCUAGGCCAUGAUUCCCAGUAUUGUGUAAUUAUCCAUUAUUUUGUCAUGUAAUGUGUUGUAAAUCCUACCCCUGUGAUGUUAAUGAGGCAGGAUUAAAGGCAGUUAUGUAAAUGAGGCAAGACUCAAUCUACAAGAUUAGGUUUUGUCUUCAAUCUCUUUUGAGAUAUAAAAGAGAGAAACAAGCAGAGAGACAGAGGAACCUCACACUACCAAGAAAGCAGCGCCGGGAGCAGAGCGUGUCCUUUGGACCCGAGGUUCCUGUGUUAAGAAGCUCCUAGAUCAGGGAAAUAUUGAUGAAAAGGACCUUCCACCAGAGCUGACAGAGAGAGAAGAAAGCCUUCCACUGGAGCAGCCACUGUGAAUUUUGUAUUCGAACUUCUAGCCUCCCAGACUGUGAGAGAAUAAAUUUCUCUUUGUUAAAGCCAUCCACUUGUAGUAUUUCUGUUAUAGCAGCACUAGAACUAAGAUAGUCACCAUGAGCUGGAACAGACUUGAUGGCAAUGGGUUUGUUUAUUUUUUAACACUGUUUGCCACCAAGUCGAUUCCAACUCAGGGCAGCCCCGUGUGUAUCAUUUUAGAACUGUGCUCCACAGGGUUUUCAACGGUUAUGAAAACGGCUUUUGGAAGUAGAUCGCCAGGCCUUUCUUCCACCAGACCUUUGAGGCUUUGGCGUUCCCCACUUGCAGCUCUCCUUCCACCUUCUCUCUGAGACAGCCUCAGUUGGCCUACACGCUGAUGUCCUUGACAUUCUAAUUAGUUGGUGCCCAACUAUACUUGUCAGGAGUCUAUACUUAAGGAAGGUUCUGGUCAUGCCAGCUGCUCUCCUCAUUGAAAUGGAGCAGCUGGCACGAUAAGAGGGCAGGUAAAAAAGGUACCUCAUCCUCUGCAAGCCAAAGCGUAACUGCGACAAGGAUAAUGUAACAAUGACUGAGUUAAGUAUUUUACACAUGUAAUACAUAUUUUUUUACUUAUGACCUAUAGGCAUUAUCAUUUCAUUUUACAGAUGAAAAAAACUGAGGCUCAAAGAAAUUAGUUUCUUGCCAAAAGCCACUGACCUCAAGGCUCACACGCCUAACCAACACAGUGUCUGACAUUGCAAAUAUUAUUUUGCUAUGUUGUCUCCUUUCCCAUCCAACCUUAGGGUUAAAAUAGCACCUUUUCUCCCUCCCUACUUUCCGUUCUGGUUGGUUUGGGGCCCUGCCUAAAGCUGGUGAGUUAUAGGGGAGGCAGGGCAGUAGCCAUAGGCAGUAUGACCUCGGAAGCUGGGCAAGGCCUGGAAGAGGAAGCCCUUCCCUGGGGGCCCUCCCUGUGGGGUUUUCCCCAAGCUAUGAGACUUUCGAAAGCUCCUCACUCUUGUGCAGGGAUUGAAAUGAGCUCAAGGUUUGUUCUGGAGGCUGCUGUCGAAGGUCCUGCAGAAAACACCAUUGUUUCCAUUGUUCCAGAAAGCAGGCUGGGUCAGCCUUUCCCAAGGGCAGAGUCCUUGGGCAGAGAGACAGGGCAGAGGACAGGAAGUGGUGGCAGCAGGGCUAGGGGCUCUCCAGCUGCUUCUUGGGCUCCCCCAUAGGCCACUGUCCCUCUCUCCCUGAAUGGCUGUAGCUCGAUCUUGCAGUUUUCUGAUUAUAAAAGUAACUGGUGAUUUUUUUUUAACUAAAAUAAUACAAGACAGAAGUGUGUAAAGUAAAAAGGAACAGUUCUUCUCACAAUCCCAGGCAUUUGUAGGCCCCUGGCACAGAGCCGACUUCAACUCACAGCUACUCCAUGUGUGUCUGAGUAGAACUGUGCUCCAGAGGGUUUUCAAUGGCUGAUUUUUUUAGAAACAGAUAGCCAGGCCUUUCUUCUGAGGUGAUUCUGGGUGGACUUGAACUGCCAACAUUUUGGCUAGCAGUUGAGUGUGUUAACCUUUUGCACCACCCAGGGACUCCUUUUGGUGUAUUAAAAAAAAGUAUAGCAUUCUCUAAUUCCUCUGUUCAUGUACAAACAUCAUUGUUGUUAGGUGCCGUCCAUUUAGUUCCGACUUACAGUGACCCUAUGACAACAGAACAAAACACUGCCUGGUCCUGCGCCAUCCUCACAAUCGCUGUUCUGCUUGAGCCCAUUGUUGUAGCCACUGCGUUAAUCCGCCUCGUUGAGGGUGUUCCUUUUUUUUUUUGCUGACCCUCUCCUUUAUCAUGCGUGAUGUCCCUCUCCAGGGACUAGUCCCUCCUGAAAUAUGUCCAAAGUACAUGGGGUGAAGUCUCACCAUCCUCCCUUCUAAGGAACAUUCUGGAUGUACUUCUUCCAAGACAGGUUUGCUUGUUCUUUUGGUGGUUCACGGUAUAUUCAAUAUUCUUCAUCAACACCACCAUUUAAAGGCAUCAAUUCUUCUUCAGUCAUCCUUACUUGUUGUCCAGCUUUCGCAUGCAUAUGAGGUGAUUGAAAACACCAUAGCUUGGGUCAGGAGCACCUUAGUCCUCAAGGUGACAUCUUUGCUUUUGGACACUUCAAAGAAGUGUUUUGCAGCAGAUUUGCCCAAUGUAAUGUCUCCUUUGAUUUCUCGAUGGCUGCUUCCAUGGGUACUGACUGUAGAUCCAAGUAAAAUGAAAUCCUUGACAAUUCUAAUCUUUUCUCUGUUUAUCAUGAUGUGUCUUAUUGGUCCAGUUGUGAGGAUUUUUGUUUUGUUUGUUGUAUAAUCCAUACUGAAGGCCGUAGUCUUUGAUUUUCAUCAGUAAGUGCUUGGAAUCCUCUUCACUUUCUGCAAGCAAGAUUAUAUCAUCUACAUAUCACAGACUGUUAAUGAAUCUUCCUCCAAUCUUGAUGCUGCCUUCUUUUUCUUGUAGUCCAGCUUCUGGAACUGUUUGCUCAGCGUACAUAUUGAAUAAGUACGGUGAAAGGAUGCACCUUUCACCUUUCCGGAUUUGAAUGUAUGCAGUAUCCCCUUGCUCUGUUCAGAUGAUCGCUCCUUGGUCUCUGUACAGGUUCCUCAUGAGCACAAUUGAGUGUUCUGGAAUUCCCAUUCUUCACAAUGUUAUCCAUAAUUUGUUAUGAUCCACACAGUUAAAUACCUUUGCAUAGUCAAUAAAACACAGGUAAACAUCUUUCUGGUAUCCUCUGCUUUCAGCCAAGACCCAUAUGACAUCAGCAAUGAAAUUCCUGGUUCCAAGUCCUCUUCUGAAUCUGGCUUGAACUUCUGGCAGUUCCCUGUCAAUGUACUGGUGCAACCAUUUUUUAAUUAUCUUCAGCAAAAUUUUAAUUGGGUGUGAUAUUAAUGAUACCAUUCAAUAAUUUCUGCACUCUUUUGGUUCACCUGUCUUUGGCCAGGUAGCUAGCUGUCUGUCAAAUUUCUUGGCAUAGAAGAGUGAGCACCUCCAGUGCUGCAUCUGUUUGUUGAAACAUCUCUAUUGGUAUUCUGUCAAUUCCUGGAGACUUGUUUUUCUUCAAUGUCUUCAGUGAAGCUCGGACUUCUUUAAUACCAUCAGUUCUUGAUCAUAUGCUACCUCCUUUUGGCAUAUAGGAAACCCUAAUUCUUCUAUACACAUACAAACAUUAUAAACAUAUACAUUAAAUAAAAGGGAUCAUAAUAAGCACAUCAUUCUUUAUCUGCUUUUGCCACUGAAUGAUAUGAGAGUAUGUUUCCCGUCUAUAUAAAGGGAUCUCUCUCAUUCUUUUAAUGGCCGCACAGGGUUUGAUUGUUUCAUUGCAUGGAUGAAGCAUAAUUUAUGUAACUAGGCUGCUAUAAAUAGACUUGUAUUUUGUUUCCUAUUUUUCAUUCUUACAAUGCCAUAAAGAAAAUUCUUAGACAUAAAUUUUUGUCCUUUUGUUGAAUUAUUCCAUUAGGAGAACUUCUUAAAACUGGAAUUUCUGAAUCAAAGGCUAAGCAUAUCUAAUAGUUAAAAAUUGGAUGUGUAUCUCCAGAUUGACCUGCCCAAAUGUUAGAUAUUAUAACAUCUCCAUAAAUGUUGGCUAUCAUAAUGUUCCCACCAAUAAUAUUUGAGGCUGCCUGUUCCCCGACCUCUGCCAACUAAGCUUUACAUAUUAAACAGAAGGAAAAAUUGUGUCUUGUUUUAAAUCACAUUUUUUUUUUUUUUAAAAUCAUGAGUGAGAUUGACUAUAUUUUUGGUCAUUUUCUUUGGUUGCCGUGUAUGUUGUUCCUGUACUGGAGUGUCCUCAUGGGAUCCCAAGAAAAUGAUUUCCUUCACUUGUAUCUGGACUUUAUUUAACAAGGUGAACUCUUUGUAUUCUAGGUUUUCAAUUAUCUGGGGGAAAAGCAACCAGUAACUAUGAGACUUGGAGGCUGGUUAUAAUCAUCCUUUCAUGGCUCCAUCAAUUCUUUGAGCAAUCCAUUAAUUUACUCUUUCAUUCACUUGGAAAUUAUUCCCUUAGUAAUCCACUAAUCUGUUUUACUCAUUAGUCGUUUUUCAAGUAGUGACUGAGCAUCUGCUGCCUGUGAAACGCCAGGUCUCCUGGGGACUCAGAGAG